UGGUAUGGAACCCUGGAUAUGGCAGGC
rnacentral:piRNA from 1 species